CAAACUUGAUGACUUGAUGGCUGCAAUUAGAAACAUUCACACUGCUGUCCAAAAAAAAAACAUUCACGCAUCUUCCUCGACCAACACAUUCUCACUCUAGAUCUAGAUCUAGAAUUCCCAAAAAAAACCCAGGCCAAGGUUUUCGAAUCUCCAUAGCUCGGAUCAACCAUUCUUAAUUGCCAACAUCUGCUCCCUUUUGCACAAAUCUCACCGCUGUAUCUACCUUUCUCUUUAUCUUUGUUCUGCUCAACCGCCGUGCUGCCACCGGAAAAAGUUUCUUUUCGCUCCUUCCUCUUCAUCUCUGCUCCUUCACCGGCGAUAGCACGAGUUUGUGAUAUAGGGUAACUUGCAGUAUUUUGAGUUUGUGUCAAAUCGCCAUUUCGAGUUUGUGUCAAAUAAAGAGGGGGCGAAAGAGAGAGAAAGACGCCAAAAUCCUAUUAUGCUCGUUAUUUUACCUUCGCCUCGUCGAUUGCGGUGUUAGCAGGGGAAUAUGCUGAUAAACAUGGUGACGACAGUAAACCUGUACUGCACUGUAAUGGGAAUCUAGUAGACAAGUCUCGUGCUGGAGGGUGGCUUGUUGUCGGCCUCAUUUUAGGAGUGAUACAUUCAAAUCUCCAGAAGGGAAAAACUUAUGCGCUGAUUCUUAUAAGCCUGAGCAUGCUAUAAAUCUGCUGGGACCUGAUUCACAUGAGAUUGAGGCUAUGUAUUGGUCAGAAUUAUUGGACUUGCAGCCGGUCUCUCAUACAAAACUCAUUAAUUGUCGGUGUGACUGAUUUUCUUCAACCUACUCCGAAUUAUCUCCUUGAUUUACCAAACCGCCAGUCACUGGAGAACGGCAAGUAGGGAGAACGACCAGAUCUUCGAGGGCGAGUUUCCUGAUGUCGUCUUACGGUGUCGCCGCAACCUAACUCCCAGAUCUUGAAAAGUUGAAGAUAUGAGAAAGAUGCUUGAAGAUGAAGCUUGCGUGCUUUGUGAAAUACAUACGAAAGUCGAGCAGGCGAUGAGGAUUCGCCAAGGUAUUUAUUUUUGGAAUAAUUUGUGCUUAAUUGUUGCUGAUCUAUGUUUUUAUGGCUAUUUAUUUAAUUAAUUUAUCUGGUAUUUUUGUUAUUGUUGUUAUUUUAUAGUGUUUUUUCAUAUUAAUCAGGAUUAUAUUCUUCCCUAAAAAAAUAAACAGGAUUAUAUUCUGGUGCUUACUACUUGUAUAUUCUCCGAAUGUGUGUGAAUUGUGCUCUGCUUAUUUUGCUACUAUUAAUUUGAUGUUUGUAGUUGUUAGUAUAUGUUGCCAUAAAACCUCUGUGUGCGGCAUGUUCUUUGGAAAAUUUCCUCACUUUGUAUUUUUGUGGUGGGGCAGAAAGUGGGUUCAUUUAAGGUGGGUAGGAAUUGGCAGUUCCAUCUUUGUUGAGGGGCUUCAGUGCAUCUAUCCGUCUUGAAUGUGAUAUGUCGUUACUAGACCUGAUUUUCUUUUUAUUAUCGCUUUUCUUAUUACUCAACUGUUAUGCAAAAUACUAUUUCCUCGAUAUGGAUCGAAUUAAAGUCUGGUGAAGAAACUAAACUUCUAACUAUUAUAUGAGUUGAUAAUUUCCUGAAAAGCAGGAAAGUGUAAGAAUAGAUAAAUUCACUAAUUAACACACAAUCUUAAUAUUUCCUCUGUAAGUAGUCACAAAUAUUUUUUCCCUGGUUAUUUUUGUGUUUUCGCUGCACUCUACUCAAGGUUGGCAACUUGGCAGCAUCGCUUUUGUGUUUAUUUUUUUGCACCAUUUCUUCUGGUUAAUUUGCCUUGAAACGAAAUGGCAAAUCCCCUGAACUUCUUUCCCCUUCUUGCUAUCUUUUCUUCUAUCCCAACUCAUUUGACCUAUUAGUUAUUUGAAUUUUUCAUUCACUUUUGCUAAACUUUAUACUUGAGUGUUUGGUUUGAUCACAGCUAACCUCUAUCAUGUGUUUACCCGCGUCUAUAAUACUUCAGAGAUGUCAUCUUCUGGUAGUAAUUUGCUCCUACAAAUUAUCAUGAGUUUAUUGUAGGGAAGGUGGCUUGUUGGUAUCCUUCUUAGCUGUUGUUUCUAAUAAUGCAGUGAGUUAUUGUGGUCAGAAUAUGCUGAUCUGAAUGUCAAAGCCAAUACAGAAAAACAAUAACUAAACUAUUAUUUGACUUUUUCUCAUUUUGUACUCGGCCAGAAUAUGGCACAUUGGAGUGAUAGAAAAUUUUUAACUAAAAAAGUUAAACUGGACAAACUAGUGUUUCACGCAUUCACAUGCUUCUUUUACGCUUAAAGGAAAUAUUGUAGAUAGUCAUUCAUGUAAGGCUAGAUUAGGAGGGUUUUUUCACAAUCAUCUUGCUAUGUGUAUGCAGUUUCAGGUCAUUGUUAUGAAUGCAAACAUGGGAUGCAGCUCCUGCCGUGACAAAGUCUUCAGAGUUUUGUCAAAAAUUACUGGUAAUUGAGAUUUGCGAUAUACAUCUGUUUUCAUUUCAGAAACUGAGCAAAGUCUUACAAAUAAUGUUAGGACUGCCUUCAAUCUUUCUUAAACUCCAUUUUUACAAGAUUAUUCGUUUUUACUGAAACACCAUUAAGAGGUUGAACAAACUUGUUGGGCAGUAUAUUGCAACUGAUGAUGCUGGACCUCUGAUGUCAACAAUGCAAGUUAGUGCUCAUAUUCACAGCUCAAUGCAUACAAUGUUAGUGCUUUGGCACAUUCAGAAACUGACAUUGUUAGUUAUGCAGGUUGUAUUGCUUCUUGUGUUAUCUGGUGCUGAUGAGUCAUAUUUGUAUAGGGUAUUUUAGGCGCAUUUAGGUUGCAUUAUUAGGCAUUUAUAUCAUUUUAGUUGCAUUUAGGAUCACAUUUGCAUAAGUUAUCGUUGUCGUACUCUAUUACGCCCCGUUUGUGUUUUCUUAAUGUUUCAGGUGAUUUUACGGUCAUUUGGAUGCUUUCGGAGUGUUAUGAGUUGAUUUGGAUGAUGAACGGAUGGAAUGUUGACUCGAGGAUCAUUGCAUAUCUCUAGGGAUAAUUUUGAGUCAAUAACGAAGCUAAACGCUAUUUUUCUAAGCAUCAAAACGGACAAGCGUUCACUCUUUUGAUGAUAUCUCAAGUUCUACAUGUCGGAAUGAGGCGAUUUUUAUUGGCCUGGAAAGUAGACUUCAAGAGCUUUCCAACGACAGGUCACACGUCCUUAUAGGCAUUGUAGAACAAGAGUUAUCACAUAAACAAGAUGGCUCGACUAUCCGAUUCGCCCGAAGCCCAAAACGAUGGCCCAAUCUUCCCCUUGGGCGCGAAAACCAGCGACCCACCAGCGGGCCCGCUGAUUUCUCCGCCCAGCUACUUCCAUGGGGGUUCGUUGCGUCGUUUCUCGUGAUCGUUCAAUUAAAUGAUAACUUAUGUAAUUAUUAUUAUUUUCCUUUUUUGUUGAGAAUUUAGGAAACACUAAAAUACCUCAAGGGAAUUAAUGUAUUCCCUUAUGCUUUUAUUUUUUUACGUUUUUCCCAAAUAAUUUUUUCACGUUAGUUCUAGUUUUCUAUUCCUCUCUUAUUCCAUUGUCGAACCCUAGCUUUCAAUUUUCAAUUCAUCAAUCUAGAGGUAAUUCAAUCA